AUUGAACGCUGGCGGCAUGCCUUACACAUGCAAGUCGAACGGCAGCACGGGUGCUUGCACCUGGUGGCGAGUGGCGAACGGGUGAGUAAUACAUCGGAACGUACCUUAUCGUGGGGGAUAACGCAGCGAAAGCUGUGCUAAUACCGCAUACGCCCUGAGGGGGAAAGCGGGGGAUCGCAAGACCUCGCGCGAUUAGAGCGGCCGAUGCCUGAUUAGCUAGUUGGUGGGGUAAAGCCCACCAAGGCGACGAUCAGUAGCUGGUCUGAGAGGACGAUCAGCCACACUGGGACUGAGACACGGCCCAGACUCCUACGGGAGGCAGCAGUGGGGAAUUUUGGACAAUGGGGGCAACCCCGAUCCAGCAAUGCCGCGUGAGUGAAGAAGGCCUUCGGGUUGUAAGGCUCUUUUGUCAGGGAAGAAACACCGGCUCUAACACAGUCCGGGAAUGACGGUACCUGAAGAAUAAGCACCGGCUAACUACGUGCCAGCCGCCGCCGUAA
rnacentral:rRNA from 1 species